rnacentral:rRNA from 1 species
GAUGAACGCUGGCGGCGUGCCUAAUACAUGCAAGUCGAACGAAACUUCUUUAUCACCGAGUGCUUGCACUCACCGAUAAAGAGUUGAGUGGCGAACAGGUGAGUAACACGUGGGCAACCUGCCCAAAAGAGGGGGAUAACACUUGGAAACAGGUGCUAAUACCGCAUAACCAUAGUUACCGCAUGGUAACUAUGUAAAAGGUGGCUAUACUACCGCUUUUGGAUGGGCCCGCGGCGCAUUAGCUAGUUGGUAGGGUAAAGGCUUACCAAGGCAAUGAUGCGUAGCCGAAUUGAGAGGUUGAUCGGCCACAUUGGGACUGAGACACGGCCCAAACUCCUACGGGAGGCAGCAGUAGGGAAUCUUCCACAAUGGGCGAAAGCCUGAUGGAGCAACGCCGCGUGGGUGAAGAAGGUCUUCGGAUCGUAAAACCCUGUUGUUAGAGAAGAAAGUGCGUGAGAGUAACUGUUCACGUUUCGACGGUAUCUAACCAGAAAGCCACGGCUAACUACGUG